UACGGAGGGUGAAAGCGUUAUCCGGAUUCACUGGGUUUAAAGGGUGCGUAGGUGGGUUGGUAAGUCAGUGGUGAAAUCUCCGAGCUUAACUUGGAAACUGCCAUUGAUACUAUCAGUCUUGAAUAUUGUGGAGGUCAGCGGAAUAUGUCAUGUAGCGGUGAAAUGCUUAGAUAUGACAUAGAACACCAAUUGCGAAGGCAGCUGGCUACGCAUAUAUUGACACUGAGGCACGAAAGCGUGGGGAUCAAACAGG
rnacentral:rRNA from 1 species